GGUGUAGGCGGCCAUGCAAGUCGGGGGUGAAAGCCCCGGGUUCAACUCGGGAAGUGCCUCCGAAACUGCAUGGCUUGAGUCCGGGAGAGGUGGGUGGAAUUCCCGGUGGAGCGGUGAAAUGCGCAGAUAUCGGGAGGAACACCGGUGGCGAAGGCGGCCCACUGGAACGGUACUGACGCUGAGACCCGAAAGCGUGGGGAGCAAACA
rnacentral:rRNA from 1 species